CCGCUAAAUAUAAUUGCUGUGUCAUCC
rnacentral:sRNA from 1 species